UAUGUUUCUGUUCAAUUUAAAAUGUUUUUUUUAAUGAAAUAUUUUAGAAGGCCUUAAUUUAUCUGGUAAAAUGUGGCCUUGAGAUUGUAAUCAUGAUAUGAGGAUCAUGUAGAUUUAACAAGAGAUAAUAGCAUCAGUCAUUGCAUAAUUUCUUUACUUGGUUUAUGUAGUUUUUCAUCAAAUAAUAACUUGGCCAUAAUAUUACUGAUUAUUUAAUGCAGGUUUUUGUGACUUAGUUAUCUGGCAACAGAAUACCAUAAUCUUAACAAAUUAUGUCAAUAUUUAUAUGUUACACCAGGUUGAUUCACCAUCACCAGUUGAGCUGUGUUGAGCUGUAUCAGAUAUUAGAUUAAACUUUACUGCCAUUGCAUAAACAUAUACUGUAUAAACAUUGGUUGUUUCUCCAGCCUUAACCUGUCACUGUUUUAUAGGAUGCUGUCACUCAUUUUUGGAAGCCUGCUGUGGUUUCCUCAAAGGUUCCAUGUUUGAGGAAAUAUUAUGUGCUGCUGACCUGAGUUUUGCUGCUGCUGGAUGUCAAUGCUGACUUUAUUAAUAUGGUUUAUUAAUAUGGAUCCAAGAAUAUGUUGUUCAUUUGUUCAGGAGAUUGAGUACACCAUGCAUCCUUUUGGUUCUCUCCAAGUACUGUAAGUACUGCAUGGAACUGAUUAUUCAACUAUUUCUCUGGAGUACAUAGACCAGUACUGUGAUCACCUGAGUAAGUCCAUCAAGUGUUAUUCUUUCUCACCUUUUUCUGUCUGUCUCCUAUCACUUUUUGAAGGGUUCCAUGUUGGAGGAAAUAUUCUUUGCUACUCUGCUGUUUGUGUGGAAUAAAUAAUCUCUAAAAAUA